UAUUCUUUAGUAAAGGUUGAAUAGUCUAUUGUUCAGAUAUUAGCCCUCCUCCCCAACUUGCAACAAAGUGCUGUUCCCAUCUCAUUCCUUUCCCUCUUCCACGCAUCAUCAUUCUGCUCCUGAGUGUCUCGCUUGUGGACAUGCUGGCAGGAUAUGGCAGCAUCUUCGGUUGUGCUUCAAGAAUUCUGAAUACAUAGCACUUUUGUAUGAAGGUGUGGUUAUUCACAGGCAAAUUGUUAUAUGCCAUGGAGGUACAUUUGUGUCUUUUUGUCAAGAGCAAAACCUUUUUUAUUUUCAAUCAAAAAUAUUUAUUCUGAAAGCAACUUUUUUCCAACACAAAGGAAGUCAAAGCAGACACCUACGAAGAUGGCAUCUCAGAGAGCGAGCUGACCAAGGGGUAGAAAAUGUAGAUCAUGGCAGAUGUUCAUUGUCUGGGGAACAGGCAGUGGAAGCUUUAUUGCUGGCAAAGUGUCCAUAACCAGAGGUUAUAUCAGCUGUUUUGGUGAACCCCUCCCGCAUCUGAACUGGCUGACACAGAGGGCACAGCAU